rnacentral:rRNA from 1 species
UUGGCUCAGGAUGAACGCUGGCGGCGUGCUUAACACAUGCAAGUCGAACGAGAAGAGAUGAGAAGCUUGCUUCUUAUCAAUUCGAGUGGCAAACGGGUGAGUAACGCGUAAGCAACCUGCCCUUCAGAUGGGGACAACAGCUGGAAACGGCUGCUAAUACCGAAUACGUUCUUUUUGUCGCAUGGCAGAGAGAAGAAAGGGAGGCUCUUCGGAGCUUUCGCUGAAGGAGGGGCUUGCGUCUGAUUAGCUAGUUGGAGGGGUAACGGCCCACCAAGGCGACGAUCAGUAGCCGGUCUGAGAGGAUGAACGGCCACAUUGGAACUGAGACACGGUCCAGACUCCUACGGGAGGCAGCAGUGGGGAAUA